ensembl:lncRNA
UCUCUUUCUCAAGAUCCCUCUUUUGUGAAGCUUUUCAUUGCAAGCUUAAAUCUCCAGAUAUGGAUGGCAGCUGAGGGGCAGUCUGAUAGAAUGGUGCCUGACAUGGAAAUGCAUACAAAGAAAAUGUGGGCCAUUGAAUUCCUCCAUGCAGAAAAAAAUGGCACCCACUGACAUUCAUUGCUGCUUGAUGAAUGUUUAUAGAGACUGAAAAUGGAUAUGAGCACAGUGAGGCAGUGGGUGCUGUUUCAACAGUGGUGACAGUGGGUCACCUUUGCUGGUACAGAUUUUGACAAGCACAGCAUGGAGACUCUUGUUCAUUGCUGGCAAAAAUGCAUAGUUAAUGGUGGUGACUGUUGAAAAAUAGUGAUGUGUAACUGAGAAAUUGGUGUAUCCAUUAAUGUUCUCUUUGUAUCUGUUGUAUACCUACAUAUAAUAACAAACUAUAGUGGAGAUACAACUUCCAAGUACAUCCCAAGCACAUUUUUUUCUGUUUGAAAACUGAAUAGAUUGUCUAACAUACAUUUUUGUCUCUAAAAUAGCAUUUUAGCUUGCCAGAAUAGUCAUGCUUCUUACAAACCUUUUCCGGUGUAAAACAGAACUGAAAUCUUCAUGGAAACAAUCUUAAAUAAAAUACCAUUCUGAAAUACUUCAUUCGCUCUGAAAACAAAAUGGCAUGUAAUUCUUAGAAAGCAUUAUAAUACUUAUAAAAAAAAUUAUGCCUACAUAAAUCUUACAAAUAUAAACACUGUACAAAGAAAGCAAGGGUCUAAUCUCUGAUUACCAUGUUUGCCUCUGCAGAAAUGGGCUUUUUUAAUGCAUUUCUUUAUAGGGUCAAACGCAUUUAACUCUUAAACUCUAAGAUUAAGAGGAUUAUCUAUGGAUUAUCUAUACAUAUAUGUGACAGCGCUGCUUGCUGAUGUCCUUUGCUGAGAACAAUAACCCAAUCUUCACAGUAUUCUGAAUUCUACAUUAGCCCACCAACACCAUCAUGAUGGACCAGGUCUGGUACAGCAGAUUACUUAACUGAAGCAUUUUUUUUGCAAGUUACCCAUGUGCCACAAAUUUAGAGGGACACUAUAUUGUAUAAGUCUUUUACUUUUAAUAUGGCACAACAAGCACUCAGUGUUUCCGUUUUUGCAGACUUUCUUCUCACAGAGAAAUGAAGCAUGCUGAAUGUAUCCUUUUGCAACCGUCACAUGAGGUGGAAUCAAGUCUCUAAAUGUGCAGGGGACUGGCAAAGUAGCUGGAGAAAUAAAUCUGAAACUGUUAAAUUAUUUAGUGAUCGCUCUGAACUCAAGGUGAUCUCCAUUAGUAUGGAAGAAGUUCUUAUAUAUUACUGGAGAAAUUCUUUGACUCACAAACUCUCAGGUAUACUCUG